AUACGUAGGGGGCGAGCGUUGUCCGGAAUGACUGGGCGUAAAGGGUACGUAGGCGGCUAGGUAAGUCAGAUGUGAAAGGCAUGGGCUCAACCCAUGUUAGCAUAUGAAACUGCUUAGCUUGAGUUAAGGAGAGGAAAGUGGAAUACCUGGUGUAGCGGUGAAAUGCGUAGAUAUCAGGAGGAAUACCAGUGGCGAAGGCGACUUUCUGGACUUAAACUGACGCUGAGGUACGAAAGCGUGGGGAGCAAACAGGAUUAGAUACACUGGUAGUCCACGCCGUAAACGAUGAGUGCUAGGUGUCGGGGGUCAAACCUCGGUGCCGGAGUUAACACAUUAAGCACUCCGCCUGGGGAGUACGUUCGCAAGAAUGAA
rnacentral:rRNA from 1 species